rnacentral:rRNA from 1 species
AGAGGGUGUUCGGCCACACUGGGACUGAGAUACGGCCCAGACUCCUACGGGAGGCAGCAGUAGGGAAUAUUGCGCAAUGCCCGAAAGGGUGACGCAGCAACGCCGCGUGGAUGAUGAAGUUUUUCGGAACGUAAAAUCCUGUCAGGAGGGAAGAAACUCUCAAUUUUUAUUGGGACUGACGGUACCUCCAGAGGAAGCUCCGGCCAACUCCGUGCCAGCAGCCGCGGUAACACGGGGGGAGCAAGCGUUGUUCGGAUUCACUGGGCGUAAAGGGCGUGUAGGCGGAUGGGUCAGUCAGAUGUGAAAUCCCAGGGCUUAACCUUGGGCCUGCAUUUGAUACUGCUCAUCUAGAGUAUGGGAGAGGAGAUCGGAAUUCCUGGUGUAGCGGUGAAAUGCGUAGAUAUCAGGAAGAACACCGGUGGCGAAGGCGGAUCUCUGGCCUAAUACUGACGCUGAGGCGCGAAAGCUGGGGGAGCAAACAGGAUUAGAUACCCUGGUAGUCCCAGCCGUAAACGAUGGGCACUAGGUGUUGGAGGUAUUGAUCCCUUCAGUGCCGGAGCUAACGCAUUAAGUGCCCCGCCUGGGGAGUACGCUCGCAAGGGUGAAACUCAAAGGAAUUGACGGGGGCCCGCACAAGCGGUGGAGCAUGUGGUUUAAUUCGAUGCAACGCGAAGAGCCUUACCGGGGUUUGACAUGCCCGUCGCACCUUGAUGAAAGUCGAGGGUCAGUUCGGCUGGACGGUGCACAGGUGCUGCAUGGCUGUCGUCAGCUCGUGUCGUGAGAUGUUGGGUUAAGUCCCGCAACGAGCGCAACCCUUACCCUUAGUUGCCAGCACAUAAUGGUGGGAACUCUAAGGGGACUGCCCCGGAUAACGGGGAGGAAGGUGGGGAUGACGUCAAGUCCUCAUGGCCCUUAUGCCCCGGGCUACACACGUGCUACAAUGGCCGGUACAGAGGGCAUCGCGAAACCGCGAGGUGGAGCAAAUCCCAGAAAACCGGUCUCAGUUCGGAUUGGAGUCUGCAACUCGACUCCAUGAAGUCGGAAUCGCUAGUAAUCGCGAAUCAGCAGGUCGCGGUGAUACGUUCCCGGGCCUUGUACACACCGCCCGUCAAGCGAUGGAAGCCGGUGGUACCCGAAGUCAGUAUCCUAACUUUUCGAAGAGGGAGCUGCCGAAGGUAAAACUGGUGACUGGCGCUAAGUCGUAACAAGGUA